GAUGAACGCUGGCGGCGUGCCUAAUACAUGCAAGUCGAGCGAACGGACGAGAAGCUUGCUUCUCUGAUGUUAGCGGCGGACGGGUGAGUAACACGUGGAUAACCUACCUAUAAGACUGGGAUAACUUCGGGAAACCGUAGCUAAUACCGGAUAAUAUUUUGAACCGCAUGGUUCAAAAGCGAAAGACGGUCUUGCUGUCACUUAUAGAUGGAUCCGCGCUGCAUUAGCUAGUUGGUAAGGUAACGGCUUACCAAGGCAACGAUGCAUAGCCGACCUGAGAGGGUGAUCGGCCACACUGGAACUGAGACACGGUCCAGACUCCUACGGGAGGCAGCAGUAGGGAAUCUUCCGCAAAGGGCGAAAGCCUGACGGAGCAACGCCGCGUGAGUGAUGAAGGUCUUCGGAUCGUAAAACUCUGUUAUUAGGGAAGAACAUAUGUGUAAGUAACUGUGCACAUCUUGACGGUACCUAAUCAGAAAGCCACGGCUAACUACGUG
rnacentral:rRNA from 1 species